rnacentral:rRNA from 1 species
UACGAAGGGUGCAAGCGUUACUCGGAAUUACUGGGCGUAAAGCGUGCGUAGGUGGUUUGUUAAGUCUGCUGUGAAAUCCCCGGGCUCAACCUGGGAAUGGCAGUGGAUACUGGCAAGCUAGAGUGCGGUAGAGGGUAGUGGAAUUCCCGGUGUAGCGGUGAAAUGCGUAGAUAUGCGGAGGAACACCAGUGGCGAAGGCGGCUCACUGGCCCGAUACUGACGCUGAGGCACGAAAGCGUGGGGAGCAAACAGGG